rnacentral:rRNA from 1 species
CCUACGGGUGGCAGCAGUGAGGAAUAUUGGUCAAUGGACGAGAGUCUGAACCAGCCAAGUAGCGUGAAGGAUGACUGCCCUAUGGGUUGUAAACUUCUUUUAUAUGGGAAUAAAAUGUUCCACGUGUGGGAUUUUGUAUGUACCAUAUGAAUAAGGAUCGGCUAACUACGUGCCAGCAGCCGCGGUAAUACGGAGGAUCCGAGAGUUAUCCGGAUUUAUUGGGUUUAAGGGUAGCGUAGGUGGAUUGUUAAGUCAGUUGUGAAAGUUUGCGGCUCAACCGUAAAAUUGCAGUUGAAACUGGCAGUCUUGAGUACAGUAGAGGUGGGCGGAAUUCGUGGUGUAGCGGUGAAAUGCUUAGAUAUCACGAAGAACUCCGAUUGCGAAGGCAGUUCACUGGACUGCAACUGACACUGAGGCUCGAAAGUGUGGGUAUCAAACAGGAUUAGAUACCCUGGUAGUC